rnacentral:rRNA from 1 species
AUUGAACGCUGGCGGCAGGCCUAACACAUGCAAGUCGAACGGUAACAGGAAGAAGCUUGCUUCUUUGCUGACGAGUGGCGGACGGGUGAGUAAUGUCUGGGCAACUGCCUGAUGGAGGGGGAUAACUACUGGAAACGGUAGCUAAUACCGCAUAACGUCGCAAGCCCAAAGAGGGGGACCUUCGGGCCUCUUGCCAUCGGAUGUGCCCAGGUGGGAUUAGCUAGUAGGUGGGGUAACGGCUCACCUAGGCGACGAGCUCUAGCUGGUCUGAGAGGAUGACCAGCCACACUGGAACUGAGACACGGUCCAGACUCCUACGGGAGGCAGCAGUGGGGAAUAUUGCACAAUGGGCGCAAGCCUGAUGCAGCCAUGCCGCGUGUAUGAAGAAGGCCUUCGGGUUGUAAAGUACUUUCAGCGGGGAGGAAGGGAGUAAAGUUAAUACCUUUGCUCAUUGACGUUACCCGCAGAAGAAGCACCGGCUAACUCCGUG